CAUAUAUUCUCUUCUGUACAUAACCAUAAUGCUUUGGAAUUCAACCACAGAAGGGCAGGGAGGAGAUGGGGAAGGUCACAAACAUUGUGAACUUCUCCUUAACUCUCUGUUUGGCCCCUGGAGGGUGCUGCUGCCUAAAUUGGAAAUGGCUUUUCUGAAAAAGAUCAGAACAAGCUCAUAAAAAGCUUCCUUCCCCACAGUUUAAAGAGAUGUUCUAACAACAUUUCUUGCACAGUGACGGGUAAAGCGUUUUAGACUCCAGGGGCAGGCAGUACUGUUAAGUCGGCCUCUCUUCCUAACACUCACUGUAGAGUCCAUAAGAAGAGGAAAUCUAAAUCCCCUGUCAUUUCUCAAACUCAGAGCAACUUGGGUUCGAGUCCACCAGUCAUCAGACUUUUGUUUGUGGAGAAUCUGCCAGAAAGGAGUUCACUGCCUCUUCACUGCUCCACCAUGAUCUUGGUGUUCACCUUGAUGCUGGAGGUGCUCCUGUUCCUGGGAGGAGCCGCAGCUCAGUCAGUGACCCAGCCUGACAGGCACGGCAUCACUGUCCCUGAAGGAGCCCGCCUGGAGCUGAGGUGCAACUACUCAUCCUCUUAUCAACCGACUCCCUUCUGGUACGUGCAGUACCCCAACCAAGGACUCCAGCUUCUCCUGAAGUACACGUCUGGAAAUGGCCUUGUUUCAGGCAUCAAAGGUUUUGAGGCUGAAUUUAGGAGGAAUGAAACCUCCUUCCACCUGAAGAAAACGUCAGCCCAUUGGAGCGACUCAGCAGAGUACUUCUGUGCUCUGAGUGACACAGUGCCUGAGUCUGCGGGGGGAGCUGAACACCAACCUCCUGUGACAUUGUAGCCUGAAAGACUCAGGGGCUCAGCCUGAGCAUAUUCUGUGAGGGCAAACAGCACAGAGAAUACAGAAUCCGGAAAGUGUUUUGUUCCUAUGGGCAUCUCAGAUUCUUUUCAUUUUCAUCUUUCCUUAUCUCUUCUUUUUUCUUCCCUUUUUUCCCUUUUUCUUUUCUUUCCUUUUUUUUUUUUUUUCCAUUUUGCAAAGGGAAGUUUUCUGAAGUUUGGAAUUUUUAUCCUCUAGAGUCAGGAUUCCAGAGGGAAUGAGGCUGUCUGAUCUUCAACAAGCUAGAAGGAGCUACUUUCUCCCACGUUGUUUGAAAUAGUGAUGGGCUGAGAUGGCUUGAGGUCGGCCAUGUGAGUUGAUAUAAGGCAAGUCAGAGAAUUUGACUUACAGCAUUACUCUCAUUUCACAAGCUAUCAGAAAACCCAGGACAGUUGUUUAUUUCUAACUGUGUUAUCUCCAGUCUAUUUUACAGGCAUUCAGAUAGGCUUCUUUCCUUAAAGGACUUCAGCUCUUUGAUUAAAGCAUUUGGGGCUGAUGCACUUAAUUAGAGCUGGCAUUUAAGGAUGUAUAUGAGAGGACCUCUCCAAGACAAUAUAGUAUGACAGAAAAAAUCCUUUAACCAGCGGUCCCGAGUAACAAUCAUUCUAAGUUAAAUACAAUGUCACCCCAAAAUUCCACGUGGAAUCUUGGGAUUGGUGAUUCUGAGUCAGACUCAGCCAGGCUACCUCUAUCCUUUUUCUCCCUUUUAAUUCAAUUCUUUAAUACUCACAGGGGGCUCUGUAAUAAUUAGUGAUUUCUCAGUCAUCUUUACUUAUUUGUCUGCACUAUCUCUCACAGUCUCUUCACUAAACAUUUGCAACAUUCUUGAACUGUCCUCCUGAGCUUCCGUGUCUGCAGAUCAGUUCACUUCUUACUUCAGUGAAAUAUACAGGCCCUCAUUCUCCAUCGCUUUGACAUCCAAAUCAUUCUACAGAGAAUCAUU